rnacentral:rRNA from 1 species
CCUUGAAAUACCACCCUUUAAUGUUUGAUGUUCUAACGUUGACCCGUGAUCCGGGUUGCGGACAGUGUCUGGUGGGUAGUUUGACUGGGGCGGUCUCCUCCUAAAGAGUAACGGAGGAGCACGAAGGUUGGCUAAUCCUGGUCGGACAUCAGGAGGUUAGUGCAAUGGCAUAAGCCAGCUUGACUGCGAGCGUGACGGCGCGAGCAGGUGCGAAAGCAGGUCAUAGUGAUCCGGUGGUUCUGAAUGGAAGGGCCAUCGCUCAACGGAUAAAAGGUACUCCGGGGAUAACAGGCUGAUACCGCCCAAGAGUUCAUAUCGACGGCGGUGUUUGGCACCUCGAUGUCGGCUCAUCACAUCCUGGGGCUGAAGUAGGUCCCAAGGGUAUGGCUGUUCGCCAUUUAAAGUGGUACGCGAGCUGGGUUUAGAACGUCGUGAGACAGUUCGGUCCCUAUCUGCCGUGGGCGCUGGAGAACUGAGGGGGGCUGCUCCUAGUACGAGAGGACCGGAGUGGACGCAUCACUGGUGUUCGGGUUGUCAUGCCAAUGGCACUGCCCGGUAGCUAAAUGCGGAAGAGAUAAGUGCUGAAAGCAUCUAAGCACGAAACUUGCCCCGAGAUGAGUUCUCCCUGACUCCUUGAGAGUCCUGAAGGAACGUUGAAGACGACGACGUUGAUAGGCCGGGUGUGUAAGCGCAGCGAUGCGUUGAGCUAACCGGUACUAAUGAACCGUGAGG